UACGUAGGGUGCAAGCGUUAAUCGGAAUUACUGGGCGUAAAGCGUGCGCAGGCGGCUAUGCAAGACAGAUGUGAAAUCCCCCGGGCUCAACCUGGGAACUGCAUUUGUGACUGCAUGGCUAGAGUACGGUAGAGGGGGAUGGAAUUCCGCGUGUAGCAGUGAAAUGCGUAGAUAUGCGGAGGAACACCGAUGGCGAAGGCAAUCCCCUGGACCUGUACUGACGCUCAUGCACGAAAGCGUGGGGAGCAAACAGG
rnacentral:rRNA from 1 species